GAAAAGAAGAAAUGAAGAAGAAGGAGAAGGAGGGAAAGGGAGGAAGAGAGAACCUAGGGGGAGCAAGUCUCAACCAUUUUGAGUGAUUCCAAAGCCUAAACCACUCCAAAUCUCCUCCUCUUUCAUAAUCCUUGCUUUGUUUUGAGUGGGGAUCAUUGUGGAGAGGGAUAUUGCCUCUCAAAAAUUCGGCCAUUGGAGAGAUUUUGGAGUUUUGGUGGCUUCUACCUCCAUGGGAGCUUGAGGAGCACUCACAUCAUUGUUGUGCAACCAUUGGUGGAUUGAGACAUUUGGACCGACCGUGAGUGAUCAACCGCUUGAACAAGCUAUGGAGCUUGAGUAGCUCAUUGGAAUUGGUGUUGGUUUUGGAGUAGAGUAUUGUUGACAUUGGUGAAGAACAAAGGUCGACUGAAGCAUUGAUGUAAGGAUGCUGCAGGAGCCUCUGGUGGCAAGUGGCCAUAUCUGGAUUAUGCAUGAAAUGUGGCAUUUCUUUUGAGUUUAUGCAUGCCUUUUGUAGUUGACAUGUAUAGGAUUUUAUUUUGAAAGCCCAUGGUCAUUUGUAUAUCUUGAUUCAUUGGAUGAACUUAGCCUAUGCUCAUGCCUUUGGUUACACCUUUUGUUGAUGGGAGCCAAGGGAAUGAUCAUAGUGU